UCCUUCGGGAAGCUGACGAGUGGCGCACGGGUGCGUAACGCGUAUGCAAUCUGCCUUGUACUGGAGUAUAGCCCAGGGAAACUUGGAUUAAUCCUCCAUAGUCUAUAUGAUUGGCAUCAUUUAUAUAGUAAAGGUUACGGUACAAGAUGAGCAUGCGUCCUAUUAGCUAGUAGGUGUGGUAACGGCACACCUAGGCUUCGAUAGGUAGGGGUCCUGAGAGGGAGAUCCCCCACACUGGUACUGAGACACGGACCAGACUCCUACGGGAGGCAGCAGUGAGGAAUAUUGGACAAUGGGCGAAAGCCUGAUCCAGCCAUGCCGCGUGCAGGAAGACGGCCCUAUGGGUUGUAAACUGCUUUUAUACGGGAAGAAUAAGGCCUACGUGUAGGCUGAUGACGGUACCGUAAGAAUAAGCACCGGCUAACUCCGUGCCAGCAGCCGCGGUAAUACGGAGGGUGCAAGCGUUAUCCGGAAUCAUUGGGUUUAAAGGGUCCGUAGGUGGACUAAUAAGUCAGUGGUGAAAGUCUGCAGCUCAACUGUAGAAUUGCCAUUGAUACUGUUAGUCUUGAAUUGUUAUGAAGUAGCUAGAAUAUGUAGUGUAGCGGUGAAAUGCAUAGAUAUUACAUAGAAUACCAAUUGCGAAGGCAGGCUACUAAUAAUUGAUUGACACUGAUGGACGAAAGCGUGGGGAGCGAACAGG
rnacentral:rRNA from 1 species